rnacentral:lncRNA from 1 species
CCUCCCAGACGCGGGCUGCUCUGUCAGUUGGGGGCCUGUAGCAAAGAGAAUCUGGAGAAUGCCACAGCACAUCUGUGAUGAACACAAAAGAUGAUUGUCACUGUAAACCACUGCGCUUCAUGCAGAUUACCUACAUCAGAGUGAGAGGCAGCUGGAAGAAGUGCAAUGCAUUGAGAAACCUCUAGAAAGAGACACCAGUGCUGGAACAGGACGAACCUCAAGUGCAGAGUUUCCUCCCAACAGUGAAGAGAACUCAGCAGUGAGCCUCUGUGGAGAAGGGGGCAUUUAAGCUGGGCCCCAGACUCAGCAGAGGGAAUUCUGGAGCAAAAGUGCCAAGGAGGGUGCAAGCUUGGCUCUGCAGGAACUGGGGCCAUGUGACAGCAGUCUUUCUCCAAUAGGAUGCCCAUAGCCACUAUCCAGCCUGAGUUUCAUCAAUCAUGUGUGUCUUGCCUCUGAAGUCGUAAUUUACCUUGAAAGCCACUGGAGCAGGCACCACUCAUGUGACUGCAGGACCACAGGGCUGAGGGCAUCCUUGAGAACUCAACUUGAAUGUGUGGCAGACUUCCCAUCACCAAGCCAUCCCUAUGGACCCAGGCUCAACAUUACCAAAGCAUAUUACAAGAAAACUCCGUUUUAUGAAGUGACGGUGAUUUACAUCUUUCUGUCUCUGCUCUUCCCCCCGACUUCCUCUCGCACACAUUCCCUCUCCAGAGGAUUUGAAAAGAAGCCUGGAGCUAUCCUUGUCGGAGCUCCAGGUUCAUCCCACAGACUGAGGAGCUUUUCACAAAACACCAUGAUUUCCUAGGGUUCCACUGCAGUAUCUGGAAAGAAAGAUGGUUUUCGGUCUGAACCGUGAGGGAAAUGGAGCUCGCUACUUCACAGAAUCAUCAUCAUCGUCAUCCUCAUUCCCAUUAGGAUUAGAAUUGGGUAUUCUCUAAAAAUCCAAAGUCCGUGACUACCCAAUUUCAGCAGCCGUUUUACCCCCAUGAGAUUGCAACACAGCAAGAUCCCACACGUGUGCCUAUCUGGGCUGCGUGUGUGAAACUCUCCAGCCCCAUUUCUGAACUGAGAGGAGGAUGAAGGGCCCUGCAAGGCGAUUUUUGCAGGAAAGUUGGAGCUGUGCCUGACGCAGGCUGGGUCUGCAGGCGUUUUGGAAAGACACUCGCCCUGGAAAGUGCAGUACGUCCUGGGGAUGUUGUGUAAACACUCGGAGCCUCUUUUCUGCACGGGACCGCUCAGUUCCCGGUUUCCAUCUCACAGAUUUUCAGGUCUGUUCUGAGGCCCAUUUGGCCCCGGGAACAUAAAGCAGUGAGGAAGGGAAGCCAUUUGGCAGCUGCGUUGUGUUUCUGAGCCCUGUCUUCGGCGUCUGUGGGCUUGCCAGCAGAGAAUGCAGAGGCUGGGUCGUGGAAAACGUGUUUUCAGUGAUGGCCUGGCCCCAGAAGAUUCUGUGGCACAGACCCCUUCUUACUUAAGCCAAUGACUGAAGGACUCCCCAGAAGAAUCACACACUUGGCCAACACUUGUGAAUACAUUCCUCACGGCCGACUUUAAUUAAAUGGAAGCAAAUAUAUUUUAAGAGUUGUUACCACUGAUGUGCUACUACAGCAACCCAGCAUGUGGAGCAUUAAUCUAUGAAUAAAAACAAAUUUUGAAAUUCAACAAUUUCCUUCGAAAGCUUAGUUCUGGCUUUGGUGACAUUUUGCAGUGUCCUCAGAAACAGGUAACACAGGAAGUUUCAUUUAGGAGUUUCCAUGGCUUCAAAGCUCACUGUGUAAAUUCCUAACAGAUAUGGCCUAACUUUUGUAAUGUCAUAAUUACAUCCUUCCUAAUUAUCCUGAGAAUAAUAGUAAGAGCGGCCCUCACUCACGGAGCCCUUGCUACAUGCCAAGCUCAGUGCAAAUCGCUUUGCAGCCCUUGGUUCAUUUAAGCCCAGGAAGAUGCUACGUAGUUCCUCUAUUUUUUAGACAUGUGGUACAUUUUAAUAUUUCUGAAAUUGGGAUCGGUCUUAUAAUUGAUAAUAUCAUCUGGCAAAAACAAAUACCACACAUUCCAUAUGCACAUCAAUUUAAAAACCUGCCAUUGAUCUAAGUCAUUUUGGAAGAGAAGUAAUAGAGUGUUAAGAUUCCCAUUUGCGGAUGAGGCAAA